rnacentral:misc_RNA from 1 species
UUAAAACCCAAAACCGAUUGAAUUAAACCAAAUCAAAUUAAGAUUGUUUGGUUUUCCACGCAUUUUGGUUCCGUUCAUAAUAUUUGGCAAUUAGGUUAUUUCUAUUUUGGCGAUUCAGCUCGGUUCAGUUCAGUUCGAACCAAGUGCUCACCCCUAGGCAGCAUGUGUAUAUAUACACAAGUUUAAGCAUGUGGAUGAAAAGGGGAAAAAAUAACCCAAAACCGAUUGAAUUAAACCAAAUCAAAUUA